UCCCCUGUAGCUCAAUGGUAGAGCAGGGCGCUGUUAACGCCAAGGUUGCUGGUUCGAGUCCAGCCGGGGGAG
rnacentral:tRNA from 1 species